UACGGAGGGGGCUAGCGUUGUUCGGAAUUACUGGGCGUAAAGCGCACGUAGGCGGAUUGGAAAGUCAGAGGUGAAAUCCCAGGGCUCAACCUUGGAACUGCCUUUGAAACUAUCAGUCUGGAGUUCGAGAGAGGUGAGUGGAAUUCCGAGUGUAGAGGUGAAAUUCGUAGAUAUUCGGAGGAACACCAGUGGCGAAGGCGGCUCACUGGCUCGAUACUGACGCUGAGGUG
rnacentral:rRNA from 1 species